UGCUACACAGUGAGAUCCGAGUUGGUCCUCCAUCCAAGGUCUGCCAAAUUGUAGAGGUUUGUGCACUGCUGCACAACAUCUGCAAAGCAAGAAACAUCAUUCUUCCUGAGGAAGAAGAACAUCUUGCUGCAGCCGAGGAUGGAGGCAACGAGGAGCGACUCUAGCACAGAAAGUUCAAAGUCGCCAUGAAGUAAUCCUUUACAGGGAUGAAUUUGUUGUGCUUCACUUCAACAUUGAUGAGUGAUGAGACACCAGUGUCAUGACUGCUGAGAUUGGUGUUAUUCUCAUGUGGAUGAUCUCCUCAUCCACAAACACCAGUGAUAUACCAGGCAAGUCUGGCCCCUCUUGGUGCUGCAAGUGGUGUGGCAGGUGCCUCCUCCUCAACACCUACUGCCUCGGUCACCACUUCUCUCUGUUGGGCUGCCUCUGCCACUUCCCCAGCAUCAUCUGCUGCCUGCACACUGCUGGCAUCAUUAGUUCUAACUUCAGAAACUAAGCUGAUAAUGUUUUUGGUUUUAUUGCUAAGGACAAAAGUAACAGAAACCAGUAAAUCUAGCUAAGGGUA